rnacentral:lncRNA from 1 species
UAGACCAAGAUGAGGAAAGAAUCUCAGAGCUCAAAGGCCAGUACUUCACAUCGACACAGUCAGACGAAAGUUAAAAAAAUUUUAUUUUCAAGAGAAUUAAAUCGUUUAUUGAUUACACGUGAUAAUGGAUGAUACACAAGCUUCAUUCCCAUCUAUAAUUUUAUCUGGUACCAUUAUUCAAUUUAGAUAUAUUGCAUAGGAUGUGCCAACAAUCACUUUUAUAACCAUUCCAUGAUUUUGCUUGGGUAAUCCCUUUUAAUGGUGAACUUCAGGUCACAACAGUAACUAUCAGUUCAACUACACCAAGGUUUCCAAAGACAAUGGCUUCUCCACCCAAGCAGGUUGUAUAUAAAUUCCAAAUAGAACCUGGCAUCACCCUGAAGGAAUUCUAACUUCACACUGUUGGGGAAAUUUACCAAGAUGGCUUCAGAGUAGACUAACUUUACACAGCACAUUAAAAAAAAAGACAUUUAUUCAGCAUCACGAUCAGACUAUUACAUUUAGCAAUCAACAGCAUGGGUGCAAAAAAAAAAUCUACAUUAAAACCCUUUGUUGGAAUGCUUUACACUUUCCACAGAACAGAAACUAAAAUAACCUGUUAUACAAUUAGUCACAAAUACAGUCCUUGAGUUUUUUGCCCAUACACAUGAGUAUUUGUCUAAAACAUGUCUUCUUUGUAGCAGCUAGGCCCUGCCACCACUGUGCUUGGCUGAGUUCACAAAUCUGUCGUAACCUGUAGCUUCCCUGUCACUUCUCUGGCUCUCCUCUCCUGCUAAGCUUUGUUUCCUAAUUAAAAUCUUCAAUGAACAAAACUUCCAAGAAGUAUGUAAAGAGACCAAAUCUGCA